CUAAGCGCCCUCUUUUAAUGUACGGCCAACAGCCGUACUGUGUUCUUUCGAACGGUGGUUUAAAGUAUCGGAAAUAAUCUUCUGUUAUUUCAGACAUCAGGCAAUAUUUCAUUAUCAACAAUAUGCUUAAAAAUCUGAUAUUGCUUUUGCUUCUAAUUUUGCCAACUUCGCUUUUGUUAAGUAGCAAUGGUCUGGCAUCAGCAAUUCUUGUAAAUGCUCAGGAGGAAGGAGACACCUUGGAGGGUGAGGAUGAUGUUCAAGUUGAAAUGGAUGAAGGAACUCCCCUCUCAGAUGAUGACACAGUUAGUGUAACAGAAAAAG